GGACGCGCAGGCUCAGCGGCCAUGGCUCACGGGCCCCGCCGCUCCGCGGCAUGUGGGAUCCUCCCAGACCGGGGCGUGAACCCGGUUCCCCUGCAUCGGCAGGCGGACGCGCAACCACCGCGCCACCAGGGAAGCCCUGUGCUUCCUCUUUAACUGUCAUUUGCUUCAUCCCAAAGGGUCAUUAAAUGCUCUAGGGCAGAGGCUAUCAGAGAAUUCUGUAUCCUGGUACCAGUGCUAGGGAUACAGUAGGUGAUAUAAAUAUUUUUAAAACUGAAUUGGGAUACUAAAACCAAUAAAUAAUUUAAAAAAAUCUAAUCUAGGGUGCAAGAGAUGUUUCCCUUUUUUGUUUUUUUCCCACCCAGAAGGUCCUUACGGUAAAACUGAACAUCUAAGACCUUCGUGGGUUUGACACAAGACUAGUAAGCCCAUGACAUCUUCUAAAAGCUUGGAUAUUCCCCCAACUGAAAGGUUCUAGAAGCAGCUACUCAAAGUCAGUGACAUGGGAUGACUUUUAAGUGAUUCCAAAUGCUGUUUCCAGAGAGACGGCGGGAAGAAAUACCACCAGGUACAGGAUUUCUACAGUUCAUCGUGGUCCAAUUGCUCUUUGGAGAAAAAAGGUUAUCAAUUAAAACACGAAUCACAGCACUUCCACAGAAAGAAAAAUACUUGGAAGCAUUUUUCACGGACAGAAAGUGCAUUAGGGACGUAUGAUUGCUGUUUCUCCUCCCCGAGUUAAUUCUUAAUAACCCAGCCUGAACGGGGAUGAUACUUUUUGCAAGAUCUGCCUUCAGGCUUUCAGUGACUGAGCUGAAUGGUGUUAGAGUAUUUAUGCUUCUUGUAUGCCGUAACUAAUAUAAGCCAUCAACAUGACUAUUUCUUCAGGAUUCUGUCUUUCUAGGGUCUCACGUUUUUCUUCCCCCUUAUGUGCUUUAAACUUCCAGUUUUGGGGGCAAAUGAUUUUAUUUGUCUAGAAUGAUAAAGCAGAGAUUCUUCUUUUUUUUCCCAAAAGGAGUUAUGAGUUUUUAAUUAAAAACUUUCCAUCCCUGUUUCAAGGUCAGAUUUUGAAAUCAAUAAACUGUCCUUAGAGUGAGCUUACACAUCCUGUAGGGAGGGGAUCAUUAGUUUGGCCUCCCCUUGUUCCUGCUUUGACUUCCCGUCACAAACACUUCCUUGUUGGCUGUGUCAGGGGCGCUGGGGAAGAAACUGCUCCUUUUUCUCCUCUGCUCAGUGGCUCCCCCUCAUGGGAGGAGAAAUCGUUCACUUGAUUAGUGACAAGGCAGGAUCUGACACCCACUGACACCCAACUCUACUGGGUAGGGGUUAACAGCCUAAAGCUGCUGCUCUCAUGUGUUCUGCAUUUUCGCUCAUCUGUCCUGGGAACUGGCAGUGCCCACAGGCUGCACCUGCUCCCCUCUCAGUCCUCUCCUCUCCUUGGGGAAGCUCCCCCAGGCAGCCCUACUCCCCAAGGGAAACCUGCAGCUUUCUAGCUGCUCUGUGGGCAGCUGGCCCAUCCGUUUAGUUCAGAGGGGCAAGAGUAGAAGCCCACGCCACAUCUCCAGUCCAACUCCGCCAUAAUGAAACCAACAUCCUGAUCCCUGACACCUAUGUCUAUUUCUUAAUUGAUUCCCAAUCCAGAGAGCAGGAGUGGGGUGUGAUUACCAGCCUCCCCCAGCCCCGACUCCAAAUGCCAACAGAUACUAUACACAAAGUGUUAUCAACCAGGUUGAUUUUUAAAGCUUGUAACUCCCGAGUGCUUCUUCCUUCCUGAGGCAGAGUCUUCUCUUGGUGCUUUAAAAGACAGUGAUUAAGGCUGAAGGCUAAAAUGCAGCUGUGCAUUUUAGGUUUCAAAAUGCAACUACAUUGAGCCAAUCGGAUCCAUUCACCUUAGUUCAUCGUUGAUCUCCUCUAGGGACUUAAAUUGAUCGUACUCACAAGUAAAAUGACAGGUCGUGGGAGAAUCUGGUAAUCCAUUACCUCUUUCCUAGACCCACCCUCGUGAGGAAUUCCACUUUCUCAGGCUUCAAGGUUCACUGUCAUAUCGGCAGCUCCCCAGCAUCGGGCAGCAGGAAACUUAUCCUGCCUACUGAUGCAGCAACAAAAGUUUCAGGCUUCCUAACUGACAUUUACAGGGUGCCUUCAAGUAGUGAGCGUCGUGUGAGGAUCUAGAAAGCAUGAUGAACAAGACAAACACAAAACCAGGAGACAGAAAGAAAUCGACUCUGAGAAGAUGGCACUAGUUUGUAGCAACUCAAUCAUUAAUAUCUGGUCAUAGCUGAGAAGUAGCUUUGGAGGAAUAACUUUCUAAUCUUUCUUGCUGAAACUGGAUUGGGAGCUGUGUUGUGGAGGAAGGUGUGCUCAUCACUGGCCUCUCCAGAGCCUACCCAUCCUCCAUAUGGAGCCCGACUUCCCACAGAGUCUACCUUGACCUCUGCAACCACAGUCACUGAAGCCUAGUCACGGACUAGUACAGGAUGUGCCACGUCUUUUUCCAUGAUCAGCUUACGGGUCCUAUUUCUCUAAAUAGACUGUAAGCCCUUUACGGGAACAAAUUAGGCAUUAUGUAUUCCUCCCUAACAUAUAAACACAGCAUAUCUUCAAGUGAUAUUUCCUAAAUGAAAGAGUAGAACUGGGAUAAUCUUGCUUUGAGAAGAGAAAAUUGAGAGGGAACAUAAGGAUGUUAAGAGUAUUUCUCAAGUGCAGGGAGGAUUCUUUAUAUGAAGCGUAUGUGCAUACAGUCUGCAAGUUAGGAAAGUUUCUUAAACGCUAUGCUUUAUUUCUCCAUUUGUAAACUGCAGCUACUAAUAGGGUUAUUAAAAAUAAAUUACAUGGGUUAAUACCUAUUAAGUGCUUAGAAGAUGAUCUGGGACAUAAUGAUUGCUCAAAUAAAUAACAGCUAUUAUUAUUAAGCAUGCACUUUCAUGUACAUGAUGGUGAGCUUUCUACUGAGAAACUUGGCUUAAAACAGCAGCAUCAGGGAAAUAGUUAUGAGACACUGGAAUAGUCAAAGAAACUGACAACACUGCUCUAAAUCUACUUUUAAAAAAAAAAACAAGUAAGGCCUUCUGUGGUGGCGCAGUGGUUAAGAAUCCGCCUGCCAAUGCAGGGGACACGGGUCUGAGCCCUGGCCGGGAAGAUCCCACGUGCCGCAGAGCAACUAAGCCCGUGCGCCACAACUACUGAGGCCUGCGCUCUAGAGCCCGUGAGCCACAACUACUGAGCCCUUGUGCCACAACUACUGAAGCCCACGCACCUAGAGCCCGUGCUCUGCAACAAGAGAAGCCACCGCAAUGAGAAGCCCGCGCACCGCAAUGAAGAGUAGCCCCCGCUCACCGCAACUGGAGAAAGCCUGCGCGCAGCAACAAAGACCCAACGUAGCAAAAAUAAAUAAAUUUUAUAUAUAUAUAUAUAUAUAUAUAACUUUAAAAAAAAAAAACGCAAGAAAGAUCCCUCUCUGUUGAAGGGAAGGAUGGAAUAAAUGCUUCUUCAAGUGAAAAAAGUAAUAUGUAUUCAUUGUAAAAUGAACAAACAAACAAACACUACAAAGAUGUAGAAACUUCCAG